rnacentral:lncRNA from 1 species
AGGGAGCAGCCUGUUCUGCCAAAUCACACAAGGGCAUGUGUUUUCAUGACAUUAUUGCUUUUGAGUGUGCUGGCCUAGCAAUAAUAUGAUUUUUUUUUCCUAAGUGGAAAUUGUAAUAUUUAAGUAUUAAUACCUCUGUUUAAGGUUCAUUUUGAACGCCUUGGUGACCCUAUGUUUUUUUCUUUGUUUUUUGUUUUGUUUUUUUUUUUUUUGUUUUUUUUUUUUGUUUUUUUGAGAUGAAGUCUUCCUCUGUUGCCCAGGCUGGAGUGCAGUGGCGCAUUCUUGGCUCACUGCAACCUUCGCCUCCCAGGUUGAAGCAAUUCUUCUGCCUCAGCCUCUCGAGUAGCUGGGAGUCCAGGCACCUGCCAACACGUCUGGCUAAUUUUUGUAUUUUUAGUAGAGAUGGGGUUUCACCAUCUUGGCCAGGCUGGUCUUGAACUCCUGACCUCAUGAUCCACCCGUUUCGGCCUCCCAAAAUGCUGCGAUUACAGGCGUGAGCUACUGCACCCGCAACCCUAUGUUUUUUUCUAAGAAUAUAGUGUCCCUUGCCCCCUGCUACAAGCCUUACCCAGUGUUACAUAAUUUAUUGUAAUUAAAUUGUUUAUUAAUGAUACAUUCUUGCUGUAGAAGAAAACGUGUCCUUUUGGGCUCAGUACAGUAUAUGUUUCUUAAGUAAGAGGGAUCAUAUUAAACCAGCUACUUAAUGUGAAGCAGAUAGCCAGUGUUCUCCAUGUACAAUCUUAGGGAGGGUAAUUUUUGUUUUGGCUGUGUAAUUAUGGUUUGAGGCAGCCCAUUAAUCGCAUAUUUCAGCUGUCAAAUAGAAAUUUGGCCCAGAAAGGAAUACACUUUGGCUUUACAAAACUGCUUAUUUUCAAAUUUUUAAAUGGGGACAAAAACGAAUAUGCUAUAUUAUAUACUUUUAUUUAUAUAAUUUUUUUUUCAGCAACUUUUUCUCUUUUGAAAAUGCAAGAGCCUGAAAAACAUUGUGAAUAUACUUGUAACAUUGCAAAGCUAUUUCACCAGAGUAAAGAUAUUUUGGUUGUUCAUAUACGAGUGUGUUCGUUGUUUAUCUAAUAAAUUGUUAAAACUA